GACGAACGCUGGCGGCGUGCUUAACACAUGCAAGUCGAACGAUGAACCCGGAGCUUGCUCCGGUGGAUUAGUGGCGAACGGGUGAGUAACACGUGAGUAACCUGCCCUUGACUCUGGGAUAACUGCGGGAAACUGUAGGUAAUACCGGAUACGACCCUCGGCGGCAUCGCCAGGGGGUGGAAAGAAUUUCGGUCAAGGAUGGACUCGCGGCCGAUAAGCUAGUUGGUGAGGUAACGGCUCACCAAGGCGCCGACGGGUAGCCGGCCUGAGAGGGUGACCGGCCACACUGGGACUGAGAAACGGCCCAGACUCCGACGGGCGGCAGCAGUGGGGAAUAUUGCACGAUGGGCGCAAGCCUGAUGCAGCAACGCCGCGUGAGGGAUGCCGGCCUUCGGGUUGUAAACCUCUUUUAGUAGGGAAGAAGCGAAAGUGACGGUGCCUGCAGAAAAAGCACCGGCUAACUACGUGCCAGCAGCCGCCGUAAUAC
rnacentral:rRNA from 1 species